rnacentral:rRNA from 1 species
UAGGGAAUCUUCCGCAAUGGGCGAAAGCCUGACGGAGCAACGCCGCGUGAGUGAUGAAGGUCUUCGGAUCGUAAAACUCUGUUAUUAGGGAAGAACAAAUGUGUAAGUAUCUAUGCACGUCUUGACGGUACCUAAUCAGAAAGCCACGGCUAACUACGUGCCAGCAGCCGCGGUAAUACGUAGGUGGCAAGCGUUAUCCGGAAUUAUUGGGCGUAAAGCGCGCGUAGGCGGUUUUUUAAGUCUGAUGUGAAAGCCCACGGCUCAACCGUGGAGGGUCAUUGGAAACUGGAAAACUUGAGUGCAGAAGAGGAAAGUGGAAUUCCAUGUGUAGCGGUGAAAUGCGCAGAGAUAUGGAGGAACACCAGUGGCGAAGGCGACUUUCUGGUCUGUAACUGACGCUGAUGUGCGAAAGCGUGGGGAUCAAACAGG